AGAGUUUGAUUCUGGCUCAGAACAAACGCUGGCAGCGUGGAUUAGGCAUGCAAGUCGAACGAGAAUCUAUUCAUUCAAUCUUCGGAAAGAAAGUUUAGAGGACAGUGGCGGAAGGGUGAGUAACGCGUGGGCAAUCUGCCCUCGAGACAGGGAUAACGCUUGGAAACGAACGCUAAUACCUGAUGAGGUGGCUUUAUUAGAUUAGAGCUAACUAAAGGUGGGGAUUCUUCGGAACCUGCCGCUUGAGGAGGAGCCCGCGUCCCAUCAGUUAGUUGGUAGGGUAAUGGCCUACCAAGACUAAGACGGGUAGCCGGCCUGAGAGGGUGAUCGGCCACACUGGGACUGAGACACUGCCCAGACUCCUACGGGAGGCUGCAGUCGAGGAUCAUUCGCAAUGCGCGAAAGCGUGACGAUGCGACGCUGCGUGUAGGAUGACGGCCUUCGGGUUGUAAACUACUGUCAUAAGGGAAAAAUAUGGCGAGGGUUAAUAACUCUUGCAAUUGAUGUUACCUUAAGAGGAAGCCACGGCUAACUCUGUGCCAGCAGCCGCGGUAAUACAGAGGUGGCGAGCGUUGUUCGGAUUUACUGGGCGUAAAGGGUGUGUAGGUGGUCACGUAUGUCGGAUGUGAAAUUCCGGGGCCUAACCCCGGCGCUGCAUUCGAAACUGCGUGUCUAGAGUACAGGAGAGGUAAGCGGAAUUCUUGGUGUAGCGGUGAAAUGCGUUGAUAUCAAGAAGAACACCGGAUGCGAAGGCGGCUUACUGGAAUGUUACUGACACUGAUACACGAAAGCUAGGGGAGCAAACAGGUUUAGAUACCCUGGUAGUCCUAGCCGUAAACGGUGUGCACUCGGUGUUGGCGGAAUUGUCCCCGCCAGUGCCUAAGCUAACGCGUUAAGUGCACCGCCUGGGGAGUACGGUCGCAAGAUUAAAACUCAAAGAAAUUGACGGGGACCCGCACAAGCGGAGGAGCAUGUGGCUUAAUUCGAUCCUACGCGAAGAACCUUACCUGGGCUUGACAUAUAUCUGCACGUCCUGUGAAAGCAGGAUUCCUUCGAGGGUGAUAUACAGGUGCUGCAUGGCUGUCGUCAGUUCGUGCCGUGAGGUGUUGGGUUAAGUCCCGCAACGAACGCAACCCCUGUGUUUAGUUGCUACCAGGUAAUGCUGAGCACUCUAGACAGACUGCCCGUGUAAUCGGGAGGAAGGUGGGGACGACGUCAAGUCAGUAUGGCCCUUACGCCCAGGGCUGCACACGUGCUACAAUGAUCGGUACAGAGGGUUGCAAUACCGCGAGGUGGAGCAAAUCCCUUAAAACCGGUCCCAGUUCGGAUUGGAGUCUGCAACUCGACUCCAUGAAGUUGGAUUCGCUAGUAACGGCGUAUCAGCUACGACGCCGUGAAUACGUUCCCGGGUCUUGUACACACCGCCCGUCACAUCAUGAAAGCCGUCUGCACCCAAAGUCGCUGACCCAAC
rnacentral:rRNA from 1 species